rnacentral:rRNA from 1 species
UACAGAGGGUGCGAGCGUUAAUCGGAAUUACUGGGCGUAAAGCGUGCGUAGACGGUUAUUUAAGUCGGGUGUGAAAGCCCCGGGCUCAACCUGGGAAUUGCAUUCGAGACUGAAUAGCUAGGGUACGGUAGAGGGAAGUGGAAUUUCCGGUGUAGCGGUGAAAUGCGUAGAUAUCAGGAGGAACACCGGUGGCGAAGGCGGAUCUCUGGGCCGAUACUGACGCUGAGGAGCGAAAGCGUGGGGAGCGAGCGGG